AUCGAGUUUAGAGCAGCUGGUGCCGGCGGCUGAAGCUUCGUCAUGGAGACAUGACCAAUCCUCCAGGCGCCGGGUAAUAGGGAAACAGGUGUGAAUCCUGUACGAUCUCGUCACUGUAAGCCGGGAGCCCAUAACCAUUGUCAUGUACAGCCACUGAUCCGGUCCGGAUUGGGAAGGCGGUUAUGGGUGUUGAGCGGCAAGUCAGGAAACCUGCCAGCUGUUGGUACAGGAAU
rnacentral:ncRNA from 21 species